rnacentral:misc_RNA from 1 species
GAACGCAUCUUGCGCUCCUUGGUAUUCCUAGGAGCAUGCCUGUUUGAGUGUCAUUAACAACCCCAUCACAAAGAGUGUGGUAUUGGCAGAAGUGGGUAGGGCUGGCAGUGCUGGCCCCACUCUGCUGGAAUGAAUAGGCCGGAAAUGUAGACCAUGGUGACAGACUUUCAGAGUAUCUCGUAAUGCUAAAUUAGUUUGUAGGCCGGUCAGAAUCCAGGCUGUUGGACCCCCAUUCUGUGUAAAGCAGUAAUGUUGACCUCGGAUCAGGUAGGGAUACCCGCUGAACUUAAG